GGGGCCAUAGCUCAGUGGCAGAGCAUCUGCUUCACGUGCAGAAGAUCCCAAGUUCAGUCCUUGGUGGCAUCU